rnacentral:rRNA from 1 species
CAGUCGCCGCGGUAAUACGUAGGGUGCGAGCGUUAAUCGGAAUUACUGGGCGUAAAGCGUGCGCAGGCGGUUCGUUACGACAGAUGUGAAAUCCCCGGGCUUAACCUGGGAACUGCAUUUGUGACUGGCGAGCUAGAGUAUGGCAGAGGGGGGUAGAAUUCCACGUGUAGCAGUAAAAUGCGUAGAGAUGUGGAGGAAUACCGAUGGCGAAGGCAGCCCCCUGGGCCAAUACUGACGCUCAUGCACGAAAGCAUGGGGAGCAAACAGGAUUAGAGACCCGGGUAGUCCCUGUCUCUUAUAC